rnacentral:rRNA from 1 species
CGGCAACAGCUCAAAUUUGAAAUCUGGCCCCUAGGGCCCGAGUUGUAAUUUGCAGAGGAUGCUUUUGGUGAGGCGCCGCCUGAGUGCCCUGGAACGGGCUGCCACAGAGGGUGAGAGCCCCGUCUGGCUGGCUGCCGAGCCUCUUUAAAGCUCCUUCGAC